UAAUACGUAGGCAGCGAGCGUUGUUCGGAGUUACUGGGCGUAAAGCGUGCGUAGGCGGUGAUCCAAGUCUGGUGUGAAAUCUCCCGGCUUAACCGGGAGGGUGCGCCGGAAACUGGAUCGCUGGAGUGCGGGAGAGGCAGGCGGAAUUCCAGGUGUAGCGGUGAAAUGCGUAGAUAUCUGGAGGAACACCCGUGGUGCAGACGGCCUGCUGGACCGUGACUGACGCUGAGGCACGAAAGCGUGGGUAGCAAACAGGAUUAGAUACCCUGGUAGUCCACGCCCUAAACGAUGCAUAUUUGGUGUGGGCAGUUCAGUCUGUCCGUGCCGAAGCUAACGCGAUAAAUAUGCCGCCUGGGGAGUACGGUCGCAAGGCUG
rnacentral:rRNA from 1 species